GACGAACGCUGGCGGCGUGCUUAACACAUGCGAGUCGAACGGAAAGGCCCUGCUUUUGUGGGGUGCUCGAGUGGCGAACGGGUGAGUAACACGUGAGUAACCUGCCCUUGACUUUGGGAUAACUUCAGGAAGCUGGGGCUAAUACCGGAUAGGAGCUCCUGCUGCAUGGUGGGGGUUGGAAAGUUUCGGCGGUUGGGGAUGGACUCGCGGCUUAUCAGCUUGUUGGUGGGGUAGUGGCUUACCAAGGCUUUGACGGGUAGCCGGCCUGGGAGGGUGACCGGCCACAUUGGGACUGAGAUACGGCCCAGACUCCUACGGGAGGCAGCAGUGGGGAAUAUUGCACAAUGGGCGGAAGCCUGAUGCAGCAACGCCGCGUGCGGGAUGACGGCCUUCGGGUUGUAAACCGCUUUCGCCUGUGACGAAGCGUGAGUGACGGUAAUGGGUAAAGAAGCACCGGCUAACUACGUG
rnacentral:rRNA from 1 species